CAGCAGCCACGGUAAUACGAAGGGGGCUAGCGUUGUUCGGAUUUACUGGGCGUAAAGCGCACGUAGGCGGACUUUUAAGUCAGGGGUGAAAUCCCGGGGCUCAACCCCGGAACUGCCUUUGAUACUGGAAGUCUUGAGUAUGGUAGAGGUGAGUGGAAUUCCGAGUGUAAAGGUGAAAUUCGUAGAUAUUCGGAGGAACACCAGUGGCGAAGGCGGCUCACUGGACCAUUACUGACGCUGAGGUGCGAAAGCGUGGGGAGCAAACAGGAUUAGAUACCCGGUAGUCCCUGUCUCUUAUACA
rnacentral:rRNA from 1 species